rnacentral:tRNA from 1 species
GUUUCGAUAGCUCAGUUGGUAGAGCGGAGGACUGUAGAUCCUUAGGUCGCUGGUUCGAUUCCGGCUCGAAGGA